GAGGGUAUAGCUCAGUGGUAGAGUGCGUGCUUAGCACGUGUGAGGUCCUUGGUUCAAUCUCCAGUACCUCCA
rnacentral:tRNA from 1 species